GUCUCUAUAGCACAAUAGAUUGUGCGUUGGACUUCUAAUCCAAGGGUCGUGGGUUUCGAAUCCCAAGUGGGAUG